rnacentral:misc_RNA from 1 species
GAAAUGCGAUACUUGGUGUGAAUUGCAGAAUCCCGUGAACCAUCGAGUCUUUGAACGCAAGUUGCGCCCGAAGCCUUUAGGCCGAGGGCACGUCUGCCUGGGCGUCACGCACCGUUGCCCUCCAAACCUCCGCAGUGCGCUUACAGUUGGAAGCGUGCUCGAACUCUUGAUCUCAAAUCAGGCAAGACUACCCGCUGAAUUUAA